GAAAGGGCGUACCAAGCGGGAGGCAGCAGCCCACACGAACCGGCCCAGCCCAGCUGGGCACGAGCGCAAGUUGGCCACCAAGCUGCAGCGAUCGGAGCGGCGCCGGGCGGGCAAGGAGUGAGCGGAGCCCUGCCCACAGAGCCUUGUUAGUGAACCCGGUUCCGGACCCCAUGGCACACGGCGACACGGAGACGGACGCACGGACAGACACACCAAGAUGGCUGCCACCCAUUGGGCCUGGUGGCCAUGUUCUGGCUAUUUCCACGGUGACCUCAGUGACCCUGUUGUCAAGGCGACCCUUUUGACCCCCCCCCAUGGCAACCAGGUUUAACCUGUUGCCAGGGUGGCCAUUUUGAACCCCCCCUUUGGAAGCCCUACACACCCCAUUACCAAGAUGGCCAUUUUGAAUUUUCCCUGCAGCCACCAUCUUGGGCCCGUUGCCAGGGUGGCCAUAUUGAACCCCUCUGAUGGCAACCAUGUUCAUCCCAUCGCCAUGGCAACUGUGGUGACCCUGUUGCUAAGGUAGCCAUUUUGACCACCCCCUAUAGGAACCAAGCUCCACCCCUUUCUUGGGCAACCCCAUUGACCCUCCUCAUGGUAGUCAUAUUGAUACCAUCACCAUGGUGACCAUGUUGACACCCCCCCUGCUGCCCAGGCAGCCAUACUGAACCAUCCCCAUAUCAGCCAUGUUCACUUUGUUGCCAAGACGGCCAUAUUGGCCCCCUGCCCAUAGCAACCAUGCUCAACACCUUUGCCUGGGCAGCCAUUUUGAGCCCUUGGCAAAGGCGGCCUAUUGAAAGCAUUGCCAAGACAACCAGUGGAACCCCUUGCAAAAGGCAGCCACACUGAAACCAUCAUCAAGGCAACCAGUGGAAACUCUUGGCCAAGGCGGCCAUAUUGAAACCAUCACCAGGACAACCAGUGAACCCACCCCGACUCGGCAGCCAUGUUGGAUACAGGGGAACCUCAGGUCCCAGGGGGCUCAGAGUGGUCAAAAAGGGGUGAGGAAAGGCAUGGGGCGGGUAGCUCUGUAGCUGCCCCUCCCCUGGCCCCGGCACCAUUGUGGGGUGAAAAAUAGUCAAUAAAAUGGGGGGGAGUUCUGAAGAAAA